UUCCACAGCUACUGGUCUGCAACUGUUCUUGUUGUAGCAGUUGUGGCAUUUCUCUGUGGGAAAGAAACUUUUAUAAGAUUAAAUACCUCUUUCUUAGUAAAACAGAAAGUGGGCAUAUCUGUGACAAAGAUGU